CACAGCCGCAAGGACAAAAACCAAAGGAAUUGACGGGGGCCUUACACAAGCGGUGGAGCAUGUGGUUUAAUUAGAAGCAACGUGCAGAACCUUACCAACCCUUGACAUCUUGAUCGCGGUUACCAGAGAUGGUUUCCUUCAGUUCGGCUGGAUCAGUGACAGGUGCUGCAUGGCUGUCGUCAGCUCGUGUCGUGAGAUGUUCGGUUAAGUCCGGCAACGAGCGCAACCCACAUUCUUAGUUGCCAGCAGUUCGGCUGGGCACUCUAAGAAAACUGCCCGUGAUAAGCGGGAGGAAGGUGUGGAUGACGUCAAGUCCUCAUGGCCCUUACGGGUUGGGCUACACACGUGCUACAAUGGUAGUGACAAUGGGUUAAUCCCAAAAAGCUAUCUCAGUUCGGAUUGGGGUCUGCAACUCGACCCCAUGAAGUCGGAAUCGCUAGUAAUCGCGUAACAGCAUGACGCGGUGAAUACGUUCCCGGGCCUUGUACACACCGCCCGUCACACCAUGGGAGUUGGGUCCACCUGACGACGGUGCGCUAACCCUUACGGGAGGCAGCCGGCCACGGUAGGCUCAGCGACUGGGGUGAAGUCGUAACAAGGUAGCCGU
rnacentral:rRNA from 2 species